rnacentral:lncRNA from 7 species
AAGUCUAGCAGUUCAGUUACACUGUGUAGUAGUGUAGCUGCUUUAUGAGCAGCUGAGCAGUUGCAGCAGAUCCCUGCUGAGCUCUCUGCAGCAGUGGCAGAAGUCUCUGCAGCCAUCUGACUCCAAUAUGCCUGCAUUCAGCACAAACCAGGAGGUUUGUUGGAGGGAUCAACACUUGAGCUUGGAGAUCCUUUUGGAAAUUGGGUGACACCUCUGCUACAUUCAGAGUUGAGAGACCCUUGCCUGAUUCAGCAUCAUUCACCUGAACCUUCCCAAAAUCAGGUGAAACAAGGCCACAAAAGAAUGGUAUAUUACAGAUUUACAAACACAGAGAGAAUCUUUCAAACUGAACUGUAGUUAACCUGGCUCUGUGAAGAAACUUCACCACAUCACGAUGGUGAGUUCAGUUUAGUUUCCUUCCACCUCCCCCCAACCCUUUGGCUUUCAUGGCAUUAUUGUCUUUAAUAUAUGUUUUACUGGACAUAUCACAUUAAAUCUUUAUUGCCCUCAAAUCCAUUUACCUAUCUCAGAUAAGUAAAUGUAACCUUGUAAAACAGCUAUUAUUGAAAAUAUUAGCUUUAAAAACAUUAUUCCUGUUUACAAAGAAAUAUAGGAGUCACAUUUUCCACAGAGUCCAUCUACAGUAUUAGUAUUUUACUGUUAUAAUGCUCAGUAGCCUGUAGCAGUAACAAACUAGUGGCUAUUAAUGCUAAUGCAGUGUUCUCAUAGAAUAACUGUGUUCCUGCACUUUUACUGUAUUACAGACAAAUCUACAACAAAAAAAAAAGAUCAACUUUUUUCUC